GGGAACGUGCCCUUCGGUUCGGAAUAACUCAGGGAAACUUGAGCUAAUACCGGAUACGCCCUUUUGGAGAAAGGCUUGACUGCCGAAGGAUCGGCCCGCGUCUGAUUAGCUGGUUGGUGAGGUUACGGCUCACCAAGGCGACGAUCAGUAGCUGGUCUGAGAGGAUGAUCAGCCACACUGGGACUGAGACACGGCCCAGACUCCUACGGGAGGCAGCAGUGGGGAAUAUUGGACAAUGGGGGCAACCCUGAUCCAGCCAUGCCGCGUGAGUGAUGACGGCCUUAGGGUUGUAAAGCUCUUUUCUCCGGGACGAUAAUGACGGUACCGGAGGAAUAAGCCCCGGCUAACUUCGUGCCAGCAGCCGCGGUAAUACGAAGGGGGCUAGCGUUGCUCGGAAUCACUGGGCGUAAAGGGCGCGUAGGCGGCUGAUUUAGUCGAGGGUGAAAGCCCGUGGCUCAACCACGGAAUGGCCUUCGAUACUGGUUGGCUUGAGACCGGAAGAGGACAGCGGAACUGCGAGU
rnacentral:rRNA from 1 species